GAUGAACGCUGGCGGCGUGCCUAAUACAUGCAAGUCGAGCGAACGGACGAGAAGCUUGCUUUUCUGAUGUUAGCGGCGGACGGGUGAGUAACACGUGGAUAACCUACCUAUAAGACUGGGAUAACUUCGGGAAACCGGAGCUAAUACCGGAUAAUAUUUUGAACCGCAUGGUUCAAAAGUGAAAGACGGUCUUGCUGUCACUUAUAGAUGGAUCCGCGCUGCAUUAGCUAGUUGGUAAGGUAACGGCUUACCAAGGCAACGAUGCAUAGCCGACCUGAGAGGGUGAUCGGCCACACUGGAACUGAGACACGGUCCAGACUCCUACGGGAGGCAGCAGUAGGGAAUCUUCCGCAAUGGGCGAAAGCCUGACGGAGCAACGCCGCGUGAGUGAUGAAGGUCUUCGGAUCGUAAAACUCUGUUAUUAGGGAAGAACAUAUGUGUAAGUAACUGUGCACAUCUUGACGGUACCUAAUCAGAAAGCCACGGCUAACUACGUGCCAGCAGCCGCGGUAAUACGUAGGUGGCAAGCGUUAUCCGGAAUUACUGGGCGUAAAGCGCGCGUAGGCGGUUUUUUAAGUCUGAUGUGAAAGCCCACGGCUCAACCGUGGAGGGUCAUUGGAAACUGGAAAACUUGAGUGCAGAAGAGGAAAGUGGAAUUCCAUGUGUAGCGGUGAAAUGCGCAGAGAUGUGGAGGAACACCAGUGGCGAAGGCGACUUUCUGGUCUGUAACUGACGCUGAUGUGCGAAAGCGUGGGGAUCAAACAGGAUUAGAUACCCUGGUAGUCCACGCCGUAAACGAUGAGUGCUAAGUGUUAGGGGGUUUCCGCCCCUUAGUGCUGCAGCUAACGCAUUAAGCACUCCGCCUGGGGAGUACGACCGCAAGGUUGAAACUCAAAGGAAUUGACGGGGGCCCGCACAAGCGGUGGAGCAUGUGGUUUAAUUCGAAGCAACGCGAAGAACCUUACCAAAUCUUGACAUCCUUUGACAACUCUAGAGAUAGAGCCUUCCCCUUCGGGGGACAAAGUGACAGGUGGUGCAUGGUUGUCGUCAGCUCGUGUCGUGAGAUGUUGGGUUAAGUCCCGCAACGAGCGCAACCCUUAAGCUUAGUUGCCAUCAUUAAGUUGGGCACUCUAAGUUGACUGCCGGUGACAAACCGGAGGAAGGUGGGGAUGACGUCAAAUCAUCAUGCCCCUUAUGAUUUGGGCUACACACGUGCUACAAUGGACAAUACAAAGGGCAGCGAAACCGCGAGGUCAAGCAAAUCCCAUAAAGUUGUUCUCAGUUCGGAUUGUAGUCUGCAACUCGACUACAUGAAGCUGGAAUCGCUAGUAAUCGUAGAUCAGCAUGCUACGGUGAAUACGUUCCCGGGUCU
rnacentral:rRNA from 1 species